rnacentral:rRNA from 1 species
CCUACGGGUGGCAGCAGUGAGGAAUAUUGGUCAAUGGACGAGAGUCUGAACCAGCCAAGUAGCGUGAAGGAUGACUGCCCUAUGGGUUGUAAACUUCUUUUAUAUGGGAAUAAAAUGUUCCACGUGUGGGAUUUUGUAUGUACCAUAUGAAUAAGGAUCGGCUAACUCCGUGCCAGCAGCCGCGGUAAUACGGAGGAUCCGAGCGUUAUCCGGAUUUAUUGGGUUUAAAGGGAGCGUAGGUGGAUUGUUAAGUCAGUUGUGAAAGUUUGCGGCUCAACCGUAAAAUUGCAGUUGAUACUGGCAGUCUUGAGUACAGUAGAGGUGGGCGGAAUGCGUGGUGUAGCGGUGAAAUGCUUAGAUAUCACGAAGAACUCCGAUUGCGAAGGCAGUUCACUGGACUGCAACUGACACUGAGGCUCGAAAGUGUGGGUAUCAAACAGGAUUAGAUACCCUUGUAGUC